AGUGAACGCUGGCGGUAUGCCUAACACAUGCAAGUCGAACGGCAGCACAGUAAGAGCUUGCUCUUACGGGUGGCGAGUGGCGGACGGGUGAGGAAUACAUCGGAAUCUACUUUUUCGUGGGGGAUAACGUAGGGAAACUUACGCUAAUACCGCAUACGACCUACGGGUGAAAGCAGGGGAUCUUCGGACCUUGCGCGAUUGAAUUAGCCGAUGUCGGAUUAGCUAGUUGGCGGGGUAAAGGCCCACCAAGGCGACGAUCCGUAGCUGGUCUGAGAGGAUGAUCGGCCACACUGGAACUGAGACACGGUCCAGACUCCUACGGGAGGCAGCAGUAGGGAAUAUUGGACAAUGGGCGCAAGCCUGAUCCAGCCAUACCGCGUGGGUGAAGAAGGCCUUCGGGUUGUAAAGCCCUUUUGUUGGGAAAGAAAAGCAGCAGGUUAAUACCCCGCUGUUCUGACGGUACCCAAAGAAUAAGCACCGGCUAACUUCGUG
rnacentral:rRNA from 1 species